rnacentral:rRNA from 1 species
AUAGCGUAUAUUAAAGUUGUUGCAGUUAAAAAGCUCGUAGUUGGAUUUGUGGUUGUCGUUGUCUUUUCCUCUCUUUGAGGGGUAUUGGAUUAGCGUCGCCAUCCUUGGGUGGAAGUUGUGUGGCAUUAGGUUGUCGUGCAGGGGAUGCCCAUCGUUUACUGUGAAAAAAUUAGAGUGUUCAAAGCAGGCUUAUGCCGUUGAAUAUAUUAGCAUGGAAUAAUAAGAUAGGACCUUGGUACUAUUUUGUUGGUUUGCGCACUAAGGUAAUGAUUAAUAGGGUCAGUUGGGGGUAUUCGUAUUCCAUUGUCAGAGGUGAAAUUCUUGGAUUUUUGGAAGACGAACUACUGCGAAAGCAUUUACCAAGGAUGUUUUC